rnacentral:misc_RNA from 1 species
UGGUUCUGGCAUCGAUGAAGAACGCAGCGAAAUGCGAUAAGUAAUGUGAAUUGCAGAAUUCAGUGAAUCAUCGAAUCUUUGAACGCACAUUGCGCCCCUUGGUAUUCCGGGGGGCAUGCCUGUUCGAGCGUCAUUUCACCACUCAAGCCUGGCUUGGUAUUGGGCGCCGCGGGACCCCCGCGCGCCUCAAAGUCCUCUUUCGGCUGAGCGACCCGCCUCUAAGCGUUGUGGCAACUAUUCGCGGCGAGAUCGGGGCGCGACGGCCGUUAAAUCAUUUCAUUCAGGUUGACCUCGGAUCAGGUAGGGAUACCCGCUGA